CGUGCAGGAUGACGGCCCUACGGGUUGUAAACUGCUUUUUUGCGGGAAUAAAGCGGCUCACGCGUGGGCCUUUGCAUGUACCGCACGAAUAAGGACCGGCUAAUUCCGUGCC
rnacentral:rRNA from 1 species